rnacentral:rRNA from 1 species
UACGAAGGGGGCUAGCGUUGCUCGGAAUCACUGGGCGUAAAGGGUGCGUAGGCGGGUCUUUAAGUCAGGGGUGAAAUCCUGGAGCUCAACUCCAGAACUGCCUUUGAUACUGAAGAUCUUGAGUUCGGGAGAGGUGAGUGGAACUGCGAGUGUAGAGGUGAAAUUCGUAGAUAUUCGCAAGAACACCAGUGGCGAAGGCGGACAUACUGGACCACCUCUGACGCUGAGGCGCGAAAGCCAGGGAGCAAAGCGGG